UACAGAGGGUGCUAGCGUUGUUCGGAAUCAUUGGGCGUAAAGGGCGUGUAGGCGGUUUGUUAAGUCAUGUGUGAAAUCCCUCGGCUCAACCGGGGAACGACGCAUGAAACUGGCAAGCUAGAGUACCAAAGAGGGGGGUGGAAUUCCCGGUGUAGCGGUGAAAUGCGUAGAUAUCUGGAGGAACACCGGUGGCGAAGGCGGCAUCCUGGACCGGUAUUGACGCUGAGGCGCGAAAGCUAGGGGAGCAAACGGG
rnacentral:rRNA from 1 species